rnacentral:rRNA from 1 species
UACGUAGGGGGCAAACGUUGUCCGGAUUUAUUGGGCGUAAAGAGCGUGUAGGCGGCCUGGAAGGUCAGCUGUGAAAACUCGAGGCUCAACCUCGAGACGUCGGUUGAAACCACCUGGCUAGAGUCCGGAAGAGGAGAGUGGAAUUCCUGGUGUAGCGGUGGAAUGCGCAGAUAUCAGGAGGAACACCAAUAGCGAAGGCAGCUCGCUGGGACGUUACUGACACUGAGGCGCGAAAGCGUGGGGAGCGAACAGG